rnacentral:rRNA from 1 species
CAGCCGCCGCGGGAAUACGAGGGGGGCAAGCGUUGUUCGGAAUUAUUGGGCGUAAAGGGCUCGUAGGCGGUUUGUCGCGUCGGGGGUGAAAACCAGCAGCUUAACUGCUGGCCUGCUUUCGAUACGGGCAGACUUGAGGCAUUCAGGGGAGAACGGAAUUCCUGGUGUAGCGGUGAAAUGCGCAGAUAUCAGGAGGAACACCGGUGGCGAAGGCGGUUCUCUGGGAAUGUUCUGACGCUGAGGAGCGAAAGUGUGGGGAGCGAACAGGAUUAGAUACCCCCGUAGUCCCUGUCUCUUAUAC